UACAUAGGGUGCGAGCGUUAAUCGGAAUUACUGGGCGUAAAGCGUGCGCAGGCGGUUUUGUAAGUCAGAUGUGAAAUCCCCGGGCUUAACCUGGGAACUGCGUUUGAAACUACAAGGCUAGAGUGUAGCAGAGGGGGGUGGAAUUCCACGUGUAGCAGUGAAAUGCGUAGAGAUGUGGAGGAACACCGGUGGCGAAGGCGGCUCACUGGGUCUCUUCUGACGCUGAGGCACGAAAGCCAAGGUAGCAAACGGG
rnacentral:rRNA from 1 species